rnacentral:rRNA from 1 species
GUGGGGAAUUUUGGACAAUGGGCGCAAGCCUGAUCCAGCAAUGCCGCGUGCAGGAAGAAGGCCUUCGGUUUGUAAACUGCUUUUGUACGGAACGAAACGGUCCGGGUUAAUACCCUGGGCUAAUGACGGUACCGUAAGAAUAAGCACCGGCUAACUACGUGCCAGCAGCCGCGGUAAUACGUAGGGUGCAAGCGUUAAUCGGAAUUACUGGGCGUAAAGCGUGCGCAGGCGGUUUUGUAAGACAGGCGUGAAAUCCCCGGGCUCAACCUGGGAAUUGCGCUUGUGACUGCAAGGCUGGAGUGCGGCAGAGGGGGAUGGAAUUCCGCGUGUAGCAGUGAAAUGCGUAGAUAUGCGGAGGAACACCGAUGGCGAAGGCAAUCCCCUGGGCCUGCACUGACGCUCAUGCACGAAAGCGUGGGGAGCAAACAGGAUUAGAAACCCGGGUAGUCC